UACAGAGGGUGCAAGCGUUAAUCGGAAUUACUGGGCGUAAAGGGCGCGUAGGCGGCUCCGUACGUCCCGCGUGAAAGCUCCCGGCUCACCUGGGAGAGGUCGCGGGAUACGGCGGGGCUCGAGCACGGUAGGGGGCCUGGAAUUCCCGGUGUAGUGGUGGAAUGCGUAGAGAUCGGGGAGGAACACCAGUGGCGAAGGCGGUGGCCUGGACCGAUGCUGACGCUGAGGCGGCGAAAAGCGUG
rnacentral:rRNA from 1 species